rfam:Patagioenas fasciata monilis isolate BTP2013 Sc31e1R_305, whole genome shotgun sequence.
AUAUGCAGCCACAGCACCCUGAGAACGCCCCAUGUUAUCUGAUCUGGGAAGCUAAGCAGGGUCGGCCCCGGUCAGCACUUGGAUGGGAGACCAGAUGGGAACAGCGGGUGCUGUGGGCU